AGUGGCGGACGGGUGAGUAUCGCGUAGGGAUCUGUCCUUGGGUGGGGGAUAACCGUGGGAAACUGCGGCUAAUACCGCAUGAUACCUUUGGGUCAAAGGCGCCGAUGGAAGUCGGGGGUUGCCUGGGGAGGAGCCUGCGUCCGAUUAGCUUGUUGGUGGGGUAAAGGCUUACCAAGGCUACGAUCGGUAGCUGGUCUGAGAGGAUGAUCAGCCACACUGGGACUGAGACACGGCCCAGACUCCUACGGGAGGCAGCAGUGGGGAAUAUUGGACAAUGGGCGAAAGCCUGAUCCAGCAAUGCCGCGUGGGUGAAGAAGGUCUUCGGAUUGUGAAGCCCUUUCGGCGGGGACGAUGAUGACGGUACCCGCAGAAGAAGCCCCGGCUAACUUCGUGCCAGCAGCCGCGGUAAUACGAAGGGGGCUAGCGUUGCUCGGAAUGACUGGGCGUAAAGGGCGCGUAGGCGGGUUGCACAGUCGGGCGUGAAAUUCCUGGGCUUAACCUGGGGGCUGCGUUCGAGACGUGUGGCCUAGAGUGGGGAAGAGGGUCGUGGAAUUCCCAGUGUAGAGGUGAAAUUCGUAGAUAUUGGGAAGAACACCGGUGGCGAAGGCGGCGACCUGGUCCUUGACUGACGCUGAGGCGCGAAAGCGUGGGGAGCAAAC
rnacentral:rRNA from 1 species